rnacentral:rRNA from 1 species
CAAUAGCGUAUAUUAAAGUUGUUGCGGUAAAAAAGCUCGUAGUUGGAUUUCUACCGAAGAUAGCCGGUCGGGUCUUCGACCUUGUAUCUGGUUUUGUCUUUGGUAUCCUCAUAGGGAACGUUUCUGCGCUUUAUUGCGUGGUGCGGUAUCUAUGACUUUUACCUUGAGGAAAUUAGAGUGUUCACGGCAGGCAAACGCCUUGAAUAUAUUAGCAUGGAAUAAUAACAUAGGAUCUUCGUCCUAUUUUGUUGGUUUCUAGGGCUAAGAUAAUGAUUAAUAGGGAUAAUUGGGGGCAUCUGUAUCAACGCGUCAGAGGUGGAAUUCUUGGAUUGCGUUGCGACAAACUACUGCGAAAGCAUUUGCCAAGGAUGUUUUCAUUGA